rnacentral:rRNA from 1 species
GCAUAUCAAUAAGCGGAGGAAAAAGACACCAACAGAGAUUGCCUUAGUAACGGCGAGUGAAGCGGCAAAAGCUCAGAUUUGAAAUCUUCUUGCAUCUGUAAGACGAGUUGUAAUCUGUAGAAGGAUCAAUCGGCUGAAUAUUCUGAUUUAAGUUCCCUGGAAUAGGACAUCAUAGAGGGUGAGAAUCCCGUGAUUAUCGGAAAAUAGGCUAUUCAAUUGACCUUUCGACGAGUCGAGUUGUUUGGGAAUGCAGCUCUAAAUGGGUGGUAAAUUUCAUCUAAAGCUAAAUAUCUGCCAGAGACCGAUAGCGAACAAGUAGAGUGAUCGAAAGAUGAAAAGCACUUUGAAAAGAGAGUUAAAUAGUACGUGAAAUUGUUGAAAGGGAAGCGCUUGCAAUUAGACUUGAUCUAUUAAUUCAGCUCUAUCAUGGUAGAGUGUACUUUUGAUUGAUCAGGCCAGCAUCAGUUUGAUCAGGUUUAAAAAUGUAAUUGGAAUGUAGCAAACGGUUCGCCGUUUGUGUUAUAGACUUUUAUAUCAUGAACUUAGAUUGGACUGAGGUCUGCCAUUCGUGUAGGAUGCUGGCAUAAUGAUUGUAAGCGGCCCGUCUUGAAACACGGACCAAGGAGUCGACCUACUAUGCGAGUGUUUGAGUGUUUAAACUCACACGCGUAAUGAAAGUGAACGGAGGUAUGAAAGUCGCAAGACUGGCAAUAUCGACCGAUCCUGAAGUUUACGGAUGGAUUUGAGUAUGAGCAGAGUGGGUCGGACCCGAAAGAUGGUGAUCUAUGCGUGAAUAGGGUGAAGCCAGAGGAAACUCUGGUGGAGGCUCGCAGCGGUUCUGACGUGCAAAUCGAUCGUCAAAUCUGCGCAUAGGGGCGAAAGACUAAUCGAACCAUCUAGUAGCUGGGUUCCUGCCGAAG